rnacentral:lncRNA from 1 species
UUUAAUUAGUUAGGAUUUAAAUCUUUAGUUGGGAUUUAAUUAGUUAGGAUUUAAUUAAGUACUUUUAUCAUUUAUCAUUUAUCUUUAGUUGGGAUUUAAUUAGUUAGGAUUUUAUCAUUUAUCUUUCUAGCAUUUAUCUUUAUCAUUUGUAAUCUUUAGUACUCUAUAAAUAGAGUAUUUAACUAUUAUUUGAGAUAUCAAUAAUAUAUGCACUUUGUUUCCGUUUCUCAAUUCUCUAUCAUUGUUCUUGUUCUUGGUAUAAUCGGAAGCCCUAAAGGUUCCCUUUGUCCAAAGCCUAAUCGUUCUUCGAAAUCUCUUACGAGAGGACCUAGACGCUUCUACACACGAUCGUUCAUAUCAAUUGGUAUCAGCUAGGACCUUCCAGUACUUCAAUGGCAGAAUCAACACGCUCCGCUCA